rnacentral:rRNA from 1 species
GACGAACGCUGGCGGCGUGCUUAACACAUGCAAGUCGAACGCUGAACCCGCUUCGGUGGGGGAUGAGUGGCGAACGGGUGAGUAACACGUGGGCAACCUGCCCCCGGCUCUGGGAUAACUCCAAGAAAUUGGGGCUAAUACCGGAUGUGACCGCUGGCCGCAUGGUCUGGUGGUGGAAAGGGUUUCCGGCUGGGGAUGGGCCCGCGGCCUAUCAGCUUGUUGGUGGGGUAGCGGCCUACCAAGGCGACGACGGGUAGCCGGCCUGAGAGGGUGACCGGCCACACUGGGACUGAGACACGGCCCAGACUCCUACGGGAGGCAGCAGUGGGGAAUAUUGCGCAAUGGGCGGAAGCCUGACGCAGCGACGCCGCGUGGGGGAUGACGGCCUUCGGGUUGUAAACCUCUUUCAGCAGGGACGAAGCGCAAGUGACGGUACCUGCAGAAGAAGCACCGGCCAACUACGUG